AUGCUAUGCAAAAUGCAAAAGGGGUCCUCCCUUUUGAUCGUGCUAAUUGGAUUAAGCCUGAAUGCAAUAUUAAAUGCACCUGAGAAAGGAGAACAGAAAGAACUUGGGAGAAAGUGUGUAUCUGCCUGCAUAGGGGGAAAACACCAGCAACUAUUGUGGAUGCAGCUGUGGGCUGGCUUGGAAGAGCAAGCAAUAAUGGGCGAACCCAUGUCUCCAGUCCGCUUGGAGGUUUUGUCCCAGCUUCAAGCCCAUGGUAUUGUAGCAGAGUACAUUACGUACCCCCGUGUGACCUUAACCUCGUCCUCUCGCCUCUGUGUGAGGCACAGCCCUCUUGGAGACACCUCCCGGCACACUCUCACCCUCCUCGAUCCCCAUAUGUCUCCAAAGGAGGGUGACGUUCCUGCAAGUUGGACCAUACAUCAAGUGCAAGGGGCAUUGGCUAAUCCCAGUCGUCCACUGCUGGCUGUUAGAGCAGGGCAGCUGGCCCAGAUCUAUGAUGUGGAUCAGCGCUCCUUAAAAAACGAAUGGGAAUUUGCCCACCUUAUUGAAUACUGGGUAUGGCUGGAUGCAGACACCUUAGCUGUGGUAACUGAGGAAAAUGUGUUCCACUGGACUGUGAAACGUACCAGACCAAGAUGGAAGUUCAGCCGACAUGAAAGACUCUGUGGCAUGGAAAUUGUAGGCUAUCACCGGGAUGCCAAUCAUGUGUGGAUGGCUCUUUCAGCUUUAAAACUUGAGCAGGGCCAGGUUGUGGGUCUGACCCAGCUGUAUUGGAGAGGGGGUUCCCUGUCUCAGGUCAUAGAAGCCCAAGCAGUGGCUUUGCCACAGCACAGAUUUUCCAGAAACCCCAAACCUUCAACUGCCCUCUUGGCUGCUGUGCGAAGAGGCAAGGAACGAAUGGGACAGUUCCAUGCGGUAGAGCUUGGCCCACAUCAGGCAGGGAAUGCUGCCCUGCUCAGUGCCCGUGGCACCUUGCCAUUUAAGGGGCCUUGGCUGGGAGACUUCCCCAGUACUGUACAGUUCUUGGUUCACUUGGGUGUGGCCGUGAUACUUACCAAACAUGCCUUCCUGUUCCUUGCGGAUGUUGAGACAGCUCAAACCAUCCAUUGCAUCCAGCUGACCUGUGACAUCAUUUUUGCUACUGUAAUUGAUGAUGAUAGACCCCAUAGCCUUCUGGGAGUCUGCCGUAGUGGCAAGGUCCUCUCUAUUUCUGUUUGCCCCUGUGCCUUGCGACAAUAUCUCUCUCACCAUCCUGCCAGCCUUUCCCUUUCCCAACGAGUACUGAAACUGGUGGGUGAGACAUCUUCUCAACGGACAUCCAUUCCUGUGGAGUGAAUUGUGACCCAAAUAUUGAGGACCAGUUAUGACUACAGUGGUCACUAACAUUUCUUCUAGCCUUUGUGGACUUUCUUGGGUUUGUGGAAAGGGAAAGGCAGAUGAAGGGUGAGGGGUUAAGGGGUAGAUUCCCACAGUAAAGGUGGUUAGUGUGGAACAAUGGGCAAUGAAGCACCAAUCCUGCUAAGCUGGUGCUAUGUAGCAGAGAAGAGGCAUAGAUAUUACUAUGAAGACAGAGAACUGUUGAAACACUGAUUUUGACUCAUUCUUAUCUUGUAUAUUGUGAAGAUUUUAUGAGGGGGGAAAAAAGUAUAAUGCAAGGGUUAUAUUUAUGUGCCAAAGGAGGCUUAGAAAUUUCGGGAUGAUUUUUGUAUCCACUUUCUCUGGUCUAACAUUCCUGUCUAAAAGGGGGACUGGGAGCUGGCAAAGCAACUGUGUUCCUUAUUUGUGGGGAAUGCUGGGUCACUUGUGAGGUAUAAAAAACAGUUUCUAGCUAUAAACCUGCCCUUCCCAUCUUUUGUAUCAUGACCAGUUGACUCAUUGCUUUGGAUAAUAAAAAGAAAUUGAAUUGGUAAUUCAUUGUUUGCUCUUUUGU
rnacentral:lncRNA from 11 species